GACGAACCGUGCGAACGUUGUUCGGAAUCACUGGGCUUAAAGGGCGCGUAGGCGGGCUGACAAGUCUGGGGUGAAAUGCCGCGGCUCAACCGUGGAACUGCCUUAGAUACUGUCGGCCUCGAGGAAGGUAGGGGCAUGCGGAACUGUAGGUGGAGCGGUGAAAUGCGUUGAUAUCUACAGGAACUCCGGUGGCGAAAGCGGCGUGCUGGACCUUUUCUGACGCUGAGGCGCGAAAGCUAGGGGAGCGAACAGG
rnacentral:rRNA from 1 species